rnacentral:rRNA from 1 species
GACGAACGCUGGCGGCGUGCUUAACACAUGCAAGUCGAACGGAGUGGCGAACGGGUGAGUAACACGUGGGUGACCUGCCCUGCACUUCGGGAUAAGCCUGGGAAACUGGGUCUAAUACCGGAUAGUGUGGGAUGGGCCCGCGGCCUAUCAGCUUGUUGGUGGGGUAAGGGCCUACCAAGGCGGCGACGGGUAGCCGGCCUGAGAGGGUGGACGGCCAAAGUGGGAAUGAGACACGGGCCAGAAGCCUAAGGGAGGAAGCAGUGGGGAAUAGUGCACAAUGGGCGGAAGCCUGAUGCAGCGACGCCGCGUGGGGGAUGACGGCAUUCGGGGUGUAAAAGCCUGGCACCAUCGACGCGGUAGAUGGAGAAGAAGCACCGGCUAACUACGUGCCAGCAGCCGCGGUAAUAC